GUGUAGCUCAGUGGUAGAGUGGGUGCUUCAUGUGCAUGAGGCCCUGGGCUCAAUCCCCAGCAC
rnacentral:tRNA from 1 species